AGUUUGAUCCUGGCUCAGGACGAACGCUGGCGGCGUGCUUAACACAUGCAAGUCGAGCGGUAAGGCCCUUCGGGGUACACGAGCGGCGAACGGGUGAGUAACACGUGGGUGACCUGCCCUCAGCUCCGGGAUAAGCCUGGGAAACCGGGUCUAAUACCGGAUAUGACGCAUCGGUGCAUGCCGGUGCGUGGAAAGUUUUUUCGGCUGGGGAUGGGCCCGCGGCCUAUCAGCUUGUUGGUGGGGUGAUGGCCUACCAAGGCGGUGACGGGUAGCCGGCCUGAGAGGGCGACCGGCCACACUGGGACUGAGACACGGCCCAGACUCCUACGGGAGGCAGCAGUGGGGAAUAUUGCGCAAUGGGCGGAAGCCUGACGCAGCGACGCCGCGUGGGGGAUGACGGCCUUCGGGUUGUAAACCUCUUUCGCCAGGGACGAAGCUUUUGUGACGGUACCUGGAGAAGAAGCACCGGCCAACUACGUGCCAGCAGCCGCGGUAAUAC
rnacentral:rRNA from 1 species